UGCGUGUACAGACAACUCGAAACAUGUCGCGACGCGCGCUCACGAGUUGCAAGUCAUGCUCGCGGCCGGAGCCCAACGCGAAUGCGAAGGCGGCCACGGAACCGCGAAGGUUCUGUCGGCGGGUUAUAAUAUGCGGCGACAGCGGUUAUAAUAUGCGGCGACAGCGCCAACGCCAUUGCAUGUCCAAGAACGCAGUGGAAGCAUGUGGAAGCUUCUAGAACAUUUCGAGUACGGCAACUGUAUGCAGGCUGCGAAUUUUUUUUUUAUUCCUUUGUUUUUACCAUCCCCAGUGGCGCUGAUCACGGUGAUAACAGCGGCGCGGCGGCUAGCGAGCCGGUGACGUAGUUCGACGUUGGACCAAUGCGAGAAGAAAAGAAAUGCCCCGGCGUAUCAACGCAUGCGCCGAAGAGCUUAGCGUCGCGGUCGUCGCGGGCAUAUAGCGAGCAUCCGAUGGCUUGGGCCGCCAUUUUGAAUUUUCUGUCCACUUCAGCGUGACUCUUAUCGGCUGCCUUCUGCGUCGCACCGCACUUCGAAGUUGCACGCUGCGCAUGUUCCCGCCUUCGACCGACUCUGGAAGCACUGGCUUCAUGACCCGGGCCUGCAAAACGUGAGGCAUACCUCGAGAGACUUGUUGCCCCACCCGCUUGCCGUCUCGGCAAUUCCUGGCCCCGCUUUCGCGCUCCCGGAGUGUGACUGCCAGCCGGCAUUUACUACGUUACUAUACGCCAACGACACUCCGGUUGAGCCGGCGCAGCGUAUAAGUCGCGAGUCGUUCCUGCCGAAUACUCGUUCUUUUGUUUGUGCGCGUUCCCACCCCCCGACGGCGCCUGGACUAUUGAACUGUGGACGAACUCUGAGCGUGGCCAUUAACCGAGGACCAGCGCGGGAACCCCUCGUCACGGCUAGCGUCGUCCUCUACGAGCUUCGCAUCGAGCGUCCUAAACGCUCAAAAGGCAUUUCCAUUUCGUUUGUGCAUUUUUCGAGAUGGUCUAGCUGGCGAGGGUGGCGCACGCCUUAGAGAAGUUAAAUUCAGUUGCACUAGCUAGCGCUUACUAGGAUGUAUGGCUACAUCACAAGAUAACGUAAAGUUAGUUUUGUUGCUUAGCUGUAAGCCCGAGGUUUCGCGGGCAUGGCUUGCGGCCACACGGGUCUUCUCCGUGCCGGAAUCGAAGAGGACGGGCCACGUGUUGCGGGGUGGCGGCGUAUAGCUUCAGGUUUAGCGGUCACACAGCUUAGCUCACACUAGGCAGGCUAGCCGAUAGCCGUCCUCAUGCGACUGCGUCAGGGACAUGGACCCAUCCGUAUGGCCUUGCCACCCGACCCCACUAUUUCGUGACAAGGUAGCCUGCGCGCGGGAGUGCGCGGACUACCUUGCGAAAUCUAGCGAAAUGUGGACUCACGGUAGCAAGCGUCAUUCGGAAACUGCCUCGCCAGCUAUCAUGUACUAACCCGCUCUACGCAGCAGCUCUACGCCGGACGUCGCCUGCUGUGUUCGUCGGAGCAGGGCCGGGCAUCAGCUGCGAGCGUCACUCGCACCGCCGCACACAGUCUUCCGUCGUCGGUGCGGUCUUGUGGGCCUGGACUACUACGGGAUCCCGAGGUCCGCUUUCGAGAUUGCGGACCACGAGUAGAAAGGAUAUCCAGUGUGCUGCUCCACGUUUGCCAUCCUCCCAACGUCCCCCACCGGAGAUGGCCUUGAGCACUUCUUACCGUGGCUGACCGCGUUGGCUCCUUUGCAUUUCCACGUCCAUGGCGUCCUGCUGGCACGGGAGACUUCGUCUGCUACUACUGUCCACGUGUAAGAUGGAUAUCCAGCGCGCUGCUCCACGUUUGCCAUCCUCCCAACGUCCCCUUCAGGAGAUGGCCUAGAGCACCGCUCGCACCGUGGCCGACCGUUCCCCUUGGCCGGUGCGGUCUCGCUGGCAGGCGAGAUUGCUCAUCGCCCUGCUUUG